rnacentral:rRNA from 1 species
CACAUGCAAGUCGAGCGCGAACGGGGCAACCCUAGUAGAGCGGCGCACGGGUGCGUAACACGUGGGUAAUCUGCCUGGAAGCCUGGGAUAACCAGUCGAAAGACUUGGCUAAUACCAGAUAAGCCCACAGGCUCUUCGGAGCCAGUGGGAAAAGGUGGCCUCUGUACACAAGCUAACACUUCCAGAUGAGCCCGCGGCCCAUCAGCUAGUUGGCGGGGUAACGGCCCACCAAGGCAACGACGGGUAGCUGGUCUGAGAGGACGAUCAGCCACACUGGAACUGAGACACGGUCCAGACUCCUACGGGAGGCAGCAGUGGGGAAUUUUGCGCAAUGGGCGAAAGCCUGACGCAGCAACGCCGCGUGUGUGAUGAAGGUCUUCGGAUUGUAAAGCACUUUCGACCGGGACGAAAUGCUUGAGCCCAACACGCUCAGGAGUCGACGGUACCGGGAGAAGAAGCACCGGCUAACUCUGUGCCAGCAGCCGCGGUAA